GACCUCUCAGGAGUGACCUCUGUGCGUUGCCGGAUCGCCCUGUGCCUCGGUGUUCUCAUCUGUAACAUGGGGGUUAACACUACCUUGCAGAAGAGAUAGGAGGUCAAAGUACUGUCUGCAAAGCAUCUAGCACGUACCAAGUCUGACCACACGUGCUUAAAAAAUGGCGAUUAUUAUUAUUGUUGUUGUUUAACUAAGAAAGAAACAGGAGAUUAGGAUUUGGAAUAAGCGAGGCUGGGGUGGUGGCUGCUGUCUAGAGACUGCUAAAUAGGCACAGGAUCAGCACCGGGCACUGGUGGAGGCCCACGUGGCAUUAGAACCGGGAAAGGGCAGCUUCCGGGCUCUCGUGCCAGCUCUGCACUUGGCUUCAGGCUUCUCUCAGAGCGUCAUCUAUCAAAGACCAGGACAGGAGCAGGUGUCACCCACGCCCUCUCAGCUGGCUCCACACCACGGCCUCAGGAGCCCCCACAGCAACACGCAGAGCUCACGAUGAAGCCUCACCCACAGAAGCAGGAAGGACUCACGCGAGUGUUGGAAGCCGUGCUGAACUGGCGUCUCCACUGUGGUAACUGGGUCAGCCUGGACUCUCUGAGUGGCCACAGAGGAGAGGAGAGCUGAGCUGGUGCUUCCUUGCGGGAGGUAUAAAGUAUUAUUUAUUUGAAGGACUAUUAUUAUUAUUAUUACUGUCUUUUUAGGGCCACACCCACAACAUAUGGAAGUUCCCAGGCUAGGGGUCUAAUCGGAGCUGUAGCCACUGGCCUACACCGCAGCCACAGCAACACCAGAUCCUGAACCCACUGAGUGAGCCCAGGGAUCGAACCUGCAACCUCAUGGUUCCUCGUUGGAUUCAUUUCCGCUGAGCCACGACGGGAACUCCAGAGACAGCUUCUUAAAUAUCAGAGAAUCUCAAAACCAGACUUUGCUGGUGGAUCAAGACCAGCGGUGAACGGGUAGUUGGUACUUAUUCAUCUGCUCUCCUGCAAGUGGAUCCUGAAACACUCUAGUGACAGCUGCAGGUUAGUCCGGCCCUGUGCCAGGUUGCUGCUGGGGGCCAAGGUCAUUCACUCUGGAACUAGGUUCCUCCAGGGCUGGGACCUUUGCGUCUGGUACCCAGGAGGGUCCAGUAAUUGUUGGUGGCUGGCUGGCUGGUCCCAGCCGCCUCAAAGUGGAGCUACGUAGAAAGGACACUCCCAGUUCUUGUGACACCAGGGGACAAAGCAAGGUGCUGCUUCCUCCGGGCUUUUGGCAGAAACUUUCCCUCUUGAGUGAUUUAAGUUCAUGUGUAAAACAGAAAACGGAAGAAAGGAAGUGAGCUUCGGGGAUGACCUCAGUUCAGCCGGGGAGGGACCAUCCCCAGGCUCGCGGGCCGGCUGCGGCCACUGAGACAGCAAGGCCACUUCGGCUGUCUGAGGGAGUCCCCCUCACGCCCACAGUCGUCUGUCCUGGGCUUGAGAAGGAAGUGGCACCAGAAGUCAAGAAAUCUAUUUUAAGUUUUUUCUUUUUUGACUGUACAGGAUGAGUAAGUGUGAAGAAAAUUUCCCUCGAUGCUGGCACAGCCUUGGGCAGCUAGUUACAGCUUCAUUUCAAAAUGCUGUGGACUUUGUCGAAAGCUGCUAAGAGGCUUUGCAGUCAUGGUUUCUGGGGCAGAUGGGAGCAGCCACUUACAAAGGACCUGCUGUCUGUCCAGUGUGUGCCCUUACCGCGCCACUGCUCAGGAAGCUGGGUUUUAUCUUCAUGCUGGAGGAAGGACUGUAAGCCUCAGGUUUAAAAUAUUAGCUUUAGGAGUUCCCGUCCUGGGGCAGAGGAAACGAAUCUGACUCGUAUCCAUGAGGAUGCAGGUUCGAUCCCUGGCCUCGCUCAGUGUGUCAGAGAUCCAGUGUUGCCGUGAGCUGUGGUGGCUCAGGUGGCACACAGCUCUCAGAUCAGGUGUUGCUGUGGCUGUGCUGUAGGCCAGCAGCUGCAGUUCCAAUUCGACCCCUAGCCUGUGGAACCUCCAUUUAUUGUAAAAAGCAAAUACAAUACAAUGAAAUAAAUUAAAUAUUAGGUUUAAAAAA
ensembl:lncRNA